GGAGCCAUCUUAAAAAAAAACUUUACUCCUUCUUAAAAAUUGCAAAAAUUAAGCAAAGAAAAAACUAAUUUGAGUACAAUUGAUAGCCUCAUCACUAGUAUUAACAGUUUUAGUUCUGUCCCUCUUCACUGUCAAAGAGAGAGGCAGACAUUGGGAGCCAAUUGCAUCUCCUACUUACCUGUGCUGAAUAAGAAGAGGUAAGAGGCGGCUUUUCCUGAGGUCAACUUUUCAUCCUAGAACAUGUUAUCCCUUGCAAAGUUAUAACUUUUAUUCAUUUAAGCUCUUUUUUAUUUGAAGUUCAGAAAUAUCUGAAUGAGCUAUCAAAUCUAGUUUUACUCCCUACGUGUAUGAUGCUAAAUUUGACCUGUCUCAGAACACGAUUUAAAAUUUAAAAUGAUCUUACCACAUUCUUUUGUGUUCUUAAAUUGCAACAAAGCCGUGGUCUACAAACUUAACUACAUAACAUACCCCUUGUUUUCAAGGUAUUGGACCACCUCCAAUCAACAUUGGUAGCUACCCUUGUCCAGAUUAUGCUGGCCUGGAGAAAAGUAACUUUAUUAACAGAUUUUUUUUAUCCACCUUUGUUAUUUUUUUUUUUAAAUAAAUAAUACAAGGUGGUGAACAUACCUAAUACUACUUCCUCAUCCUAUUUUCCCCAGAACAACAAGGUUGGGCUGAGAGAGAGUGACUGGCCCAAGGAAACCCCAUUUGCUUUCAUGACAAAUGGGGGUUAGAACUCACAGUCCCCUAGUUUCUGGCCUGGUGCUUAAAUACCUGUUAUACAUGCCUUCAAAAGAGAGAGAGAGGAGAGAAAAUGCAGACAAUAUAUUUCAUUAGUCAGCUAGGGCCACAAGAAGAGUCAGGAUGGCAUAUCAUUAUGCCAGCAAGUUAACAUAUUGAGGUCUGGGUUACAUUAAGUAUUCCUGGGGGAAAGACUCUUUAGUAAUGGCUUCCUAUAGCAGAAGUGCUUUGGCUUGAAGAAACAAUUUUACAAUUAAUUUGUUGAUGCUGUCUGCUAUUUUAUUGCAAUAACAGCAGUGUUUAUAUUGCAGAAGUUCUACUUGCAUUAGUCCUGGUUCCUAUGUACAUAAAAUUUUAGCUCUUCAGUAACAAUGACUAAAUGAUUCAAGAUACAAGGGAAAGCAAGGAAGAAUGAUACAAGAGGAAAUGGUUUUAAAAAGGACUUGUAUACCAACCAAAAGCAAAUUUAUCUAAGGUCGCGUUGGAAUAAUAAUUAUGUUAUGUGCUGCGCUGUUUAGAUCCUCAGGCCAAAUUUCUAUGCUUCAGUUACUUGUAUUUUUUUCUAAUUUAAAGUAUAUUAAAGUGAAGUAGCAUGACAUCUUUAAUACAGAUAUUUCCCUAAACACUUUGUCUUAGGCAAACCACUUUUUUUCAUUUUUCAUUAUGGAGAUGAUAUUCUUGUCAAGUGAUAUUCUUGUCAAGAUCUGAACACAAAAUUCAUGUUGGGGUCUGACCAUAACAAAAUGAGCUGCUACUUUCCACAAUAGGAAAUUUAUAUUUCAAUUAAUACAACCUGAAAAUACAUUUGCCUAUUUUGCAUUGCACUAAUAAUUCAUAUAUAGUCUGCAAUUAACUAUUAUUCCAAGAUAAUCUAUCUUUCUAUAUAUCUACAUUUUAUUUCUAUUUCCAAGUGAAGAACUUGGCAUUCGUCUCUAUUAAUCUUUACUGUUAUUUCAACUCAUUUUUCCAAUUUAUCAAUAUCAUUUUGAAUUUUAUUUGUUAUUUCCUGCUCUUAUCUAUUACCUAUCAUACUGUUAUAUCAUCUACAAAAUUAUUAUUUCUUCUCUUUUUUCUUCCAAGUCAUUCAUAAAAAUAUUAAACACCCAUAUCUUAUGGCACUCCACUCAGUUUCUCACUCUAGUAUAAGGAAUUAUUAAUGAACAAUCUCUGAAUAUGAUUUUCAAAUAACUUAAUAUAUUCAUUUAUUUUUAUGUCACAUAGCUGAUAUGGUACUAGUUCAUUGAUCAAAAUGUUGAAGAAUAUUUUAUCAAAUGCUUUGUUAAAUCAUAGUGCAUUAUAUUUACAGCAUUCCCCUAAUCUACACUGAGAAAUUUACCAGGAAAAAAACAAUAAAAACCAUUACAUUUGGUCUAAUAAUACUUUCCUUUGACAUAUGUUGAUCUUUGGUAAUUAUUGCUUGUACAUCAGUCCCUUAAUGACCUACUCUAGAAUCUUUCCAGAAACUGAUGUCAGAAUGAGUAAUCUCUAAUUACCCAGAUUUUUCUUUUUUCAAGAGACAUUCUCCCUCUUGUCAUCAUCUGAAACUUCCCCCAGGAUUUCUCAGAAAUAAUACAUUAGGUCAGAGAUCCCCAACCCCUGGUCCUUGGACCAGUACUUGGCUGCAGCAUGCCAGCAACUGGUCCGCACAAACAAGCCAAGUCCCAACCACAGGAUUCAGGCACACAAAACCACGCCCCCUCCGAUCUGUGGAAAAACCUCUCUCCACAGAACCGGUCCCUGGUGCUCAAAAGGUUGGGGACCUCUGCAUUAGGUUAUUAUUUUUCAGUACCCUAGGUUGCAAUUCAUUAGGACCUAGAUAUUUAAAUGUAUUCCCCGUAACAGAUAUUUUCAGCUCAUGUUUCUAGCAAGGUAAGUAACUCUUUUUUUAUUUGUUAAAAAUAUAUUUUUAUUUUUCAUAUAUUGCCAUCUUUACUGAGCAUAACAAGCAUAUAUUUCAUAUAUUGCCAUCUUUACUGAGCAUAACAAGCAUAUUUAUUUUCCUUUUAGUCUCAAUAUAUUUGAAGAAAUCCUGCUUUGAAUUUUGUUAGCAUUCUCUAUCUUUUGAUUUCCUAUGUCUUAGUUUUUUCAGUACUUUCUUACAUUUUUUGCAUUAUCUUCUUUGGCUUAUUCUGUAGUCUAUUUUUUAAAAACUGUAUUAAUAUAUAAUACAUAUUCACAUAUAUAGGAAUUCUAACCCAUACUGAGAUCCUGUUCUUAUUAGCUUCUUCUGCUCUGGAAUUCCACCUAUCAUUGCUCUGUAAAUAUGAAAAUGCAUUUCCUCUGAAGUCCUAGAUAUGUGUUUGGCUAUACUUAGUGUUGCUUCCUUUAAGAUCUCAAGAAUUGUAAAAUUGCAUGAUAAUUUCCCCACAAAUGUUCCUGCUACUUCCAUUUUAUCAACCAAGUCUUCUCUGUUGAUUUGUAUCCUUUCAUGCACUCCUUCUUGUAUCUUCUGAAGGAAAAAGUUGUCCAGAAGGAAGGCAUGUCAGGAAUAUUCUGGAAGGUCUGCACUUGACAGAGUUUGUCUCCAAACUAAAUUGGGAAAUGAAAAUCUUCCAUUCCCUUCCCGUCUCUUUGAACAGCAGCAUCCACAUUUUCUUCUUGGUCAAAAAGACAAUAGUGGACACUGAGCAUUUAUUUGCUUUUUCACUCAUGUUGGCUGAUAUAUUCUUUGAACACUGAAUAGAUUCAUUCAUUUGGAUUUCUGAAUUCUUUUAAAAACUUGUUUUCCCCUUCUAGUGCCUUUGUUCCUUUUCAACUGUAGCCUUCAGUUUUUAUAUCCCAAUAACAAAAAUUACCCCAACUAGAUUUCUUUUACACUAAUUAAAUCAUAUUUAUCAAAAUCUCAUUUAGCUGACUGUUUUCAGCAGGUCAGCGGUUCAAAUCUCACCGGCUCAAGGUUGACUCAGCCUUCCAUCCUUCCGGGGUAGGUAAAAUGAGGACUCAGAUUGUUGGGGGCAAUGUAAUAUAUAUAUAUACAUUGCUUACUGGUGUACACCGCUUAGAGAGUGCUUGCACUUAAAGCGGUAUAUAAGUUUCAUAAAUAAAUAAAUAAAUAAAUAAAUCAAAUUUAUCCAUUUUCCAUACACUGAAGUUAGGUAUAGACAGCAAAGCCAGCCUUUUCUCUGUCUUUUUCCACCAAGUGGUGUAAUAAGCCUUUUUAUGGAGAAAAGUAUAAAUUGUAGGACUGAAAAAAACAUGCAAGGACUGUUAGAAUUGUUAUGAGAAAGUAAAUGACAACUCAGUCCUGGAAAAGGAGAGGGUAAGAGAAGAACACUCAAAAUAAUCCUGUCUCAAUUCUGUUUGGUAUAAGAGUGGACAGAGGAAUAUUCUGGCAGAUUUUCAAAUUGUGCUAGUAUACUCAACAAUAUAUUAUAUUCCUGUAAUCCUUACAAAGUCUGCUUCCGAAGGGCUGAUAUAUUGUAGGAAAGUUCCCACAUCCAUUUAUAAUGAAGAAAUCAUUAAAUAAGACUCUUAUUUCUGAUGUGUGCUUGCAUGUUUUCUAAUCACCCUAGGAUUCAUUUUAAAACCCUGCUGGGCUAGCUGAUCAUUCCUUGUCCAAAAAGAUACUAGUUCUUGUGACAUAGAACACAUCUCAUUUCCAUCAUUCAGAUACCCCAGACCAUGAACAAAAAAAAUAAAUCUUCCCAUCUGCACAGUGAAAUCAUUAUCUGGCUGUAUUUUACUUUCUUUCCAGUGCUUUUCCAUAGACUGGAAGAAUAUAUGAGAGCAAAUUUUGAGUUUCUUGUCUAAAAUUUUUAAAAUCCAUAACAGUCUAGUGAUAGCUCUUCUUUGCAGUGAUGUUCACCCCAGAUUUUCCAGAAGGGAAAACUGUUGAUGGAUUCAAUAUAUCUAUGAAACUGUUCUAAACCAUCUCACUCCCGGCAGGCUGCAUAUUUCAGACUUUACGGGUAUGAUCAUUAGACAUUUAUUUCUAUUCCUCCCUGCAGUGAAUCAGCAACUACCACAACUGUAUAAUUCUUCUUGUGGAACUCAACUGCAUCCUCCUGAAAUACAAGGCACCACUGUCCUAUUUUCUGUUUACAAUAAUUGUUUUCCUUCCCUUUGAAGGCAAACAGUUUCAAUGUGAUGACCUCUAGUAGUACAGAAUAUGUAAUACAUAUUUCUUUAUCUAGAACCUAUUUCCAUAGAUACGUGAAGCAGAGAUGAUGUGAAGAAUGAGAGGAAAAAGUUGCAAGCAUUGAAAGGCUGGACACCUAUCUUGUUGGAAUAUUAUGGAGAAGAUGCUGUGGAAAGUUAAAUAUUUUGCAUAACAGAGCUGCUAUUGCCACCACUACCACAAAGAAGCUCACCUGCACAGACACAAAGAAUGGAGGCUUUGAAGGACACCUUGCUGGAUGGCUCAACAAAAUGAAGAGAUACACAGUUCAAGGAGAUGAUCCCUUUACAAAGGCAUUUAAUUCUACCAGCUGUAUCAUAGCAUUUUGUUGUUUGGAAACUGUAGUGGUUUCCAGCUAGAUUCCUAAUUGGGUUUUUCUUUGUUUGCUUCUUCAACAUAAGCUUCUGUUUACUCGACUGUGAAAUAAUAGUUUGUCUGAAUAUCUGCCUUAUGUAAUGUGGCAGCUGUGGAUAGGUUGUUGGUACAGAGUAUCACAUAUUAGAUUCUAGACCAAACAUUAGAAGCCUUUUCUUCCCCAAAGUGAAAAAACACAAAACAAGCCCCUUUAACAUAUUCACAAAGCCUUCUCUCUGACCCAGAUUUUAAAUACUGCAUCUGUAGUGCUCCUUAGCUAAUAGCAUGGAGUAGGACUUCCAUUCUCAAAAUACUUUAUGUCAACAAAAGCAAUCUAUGUUAAAAGAUCUUAUGACUGUUCACAUGCACAGGAUAUAUUCUAUUAAUAACUCCUUUAUGUACACUUACUGCAAAUAUUUGUCCAAUUGAAUCAGUAUUCUCUCCAGCCUGAUCAAAACAGCAAAUUCAGCAUAUCAGGCAGAGGUUUUUCUUUCCAUUUCCUGCUAUCUGACCCUUUUUACAGGAAAUAUUAGGGCUCCAAUCUGGCACUUUGUACAUAUUGUUCUACUACCAAGAUAUGGUCCUUUUUCCAAUCAUAAAUUUUUCUUUACAUGAAAAGUUUUUUUAAAAAAAAUCCUAAUUGCCAUGGUAGCAUACCUUCGGUUGUGGCAUCCACUCUCUGAAACACAUUGUAGAAAUUAGAUAGCUACCUUCUUUCUCAUAUUAAAAAAAAAACCUUACCAAACAUUUAUUAUAUAAUAUAUUCCAUGCAUAAAUGGUUCUAUGCCAAAGCUGGCUUUGAGGGGUCCAGGUCCAAACCAAAACAUGUGCACAGGGCGUGAUCUGGAUGCAAAAUGAAAUGUGGCUGUUUGAUAUAAGAAUGGCUGCUGAGAGGAAGCAGGGGAGAAAAAGAAAAAAAAAUAGAAAGAAGGGGAAGGGUGCCAGCACACUGAGCAUGCAGGGGCGGAGGAAAGAGGGAGAGAUGUGCACCAGCUUUUCCCUAACUGCCCCAUAAAAUGACUCUGACAUAUCUGGAAAUUUUGUUUUGGCCCAAACCCAAACAAGCAAAAUGUUCCAAGCUUUGUUUCCGGCAAAGCAUGUUUGAUGCAAAACAGUCAGCAAAACUUCUAGCAUGUCAUAGGGAUCAAAACCUGUCAGAUUUUCUGCUUCAAGCCUACCACUAUUCCAUUUUCUAAAUAGUUUAAUUGGAACAAAUGAGCAUAAAUAGCUCUGUGAGUGAACUGAGUGAACAAGCUCUCACACAUGAAAAACUAUAUUAGAUACCCCUAGCUGUUUUUUAGAUGUAUUGCUUGCAAUUUUCAAGAAGCUAGUUUGAAAACUAGCAUUAAUUGCCUGUAGUAAUCUCCUUUUAAACCAUCAUACUGGUUGGGAAUUUUGGGAGUUGAACUCCACAUAUCUUAAAGUUGCCAAAUUUGAAAAGCGUGGAUUUAAACUGAUAUACAGCCAGAGUGCUGUGCUGAUCAAAACAUUGGGUGGACUGUAGAAACCAAAUCAAGUUAAGUCUUGGGUAUAGAGGUUUAUUGGAUUAAAAUUCAUUCAAUUUUCUUUCUCUUUUUUCCUCUUACAGUGUAUUGCAUACUGUAAUUGUAUUAAAUGUCUAUCAGCAUUCAGCUUCUAAAACAAAUAUAAUUUUGCUGUGUACAGUAUGUUCUGUUUGAUUUGCUUACGUAACAUGUUUGCUUUACCUGGAUAAGCAAAGAAGCAGGAAGGAGCAUAAAA